rnacentral:rRNA from 1 species
UACAGAGGCCUCGAGCGUUAGGCGGAAUCACUGGGCUUAAAGCGUGUGUAGGCGGCCUUCUAAGUACCUUGUGAAAUCCCACGGCUUACCCGUGGAACGGCUGGGUAUACUGGUUGUCUUGAGCCACUUAGGGGCUACCGGAACAAAUGGUGGAGCGGUGAAAUGCGUAGAUAUCAUUUGGAACGCCAACGGAGAAAUCAGCUCGCUGGGGGUGUGCUGACGCUGAGACACGAAAGCCAGGGGAGCGAACGGG